UUCGGGUGUUACCGACUUUCAUGACGUGACGGGCGGUGUGUACAAGGCCCGGGAACGUAUUCACCGCAGCGUUGCUGAUCUGCGAUUACUAGCGACUCCGACUUCACGGGGUCGAGUUGCAGACCCCGAUCCGAACUGAGACCGGCUUUAAGGGAUUCGCUCCACCUCACGGUAUCGCAGCCCUCUGUACCGGCCAUUGUAGCAUGUGUGAAGCCCUGGACAUAAGGGGCAUGAUGACUUGACGUCGUCCCCACCUUCCUCCGAGUUGACCCCGGCAGUCUCCUGCGAGUCCCCGCCAUUACGCGCUGGCAACACAGGACAAGGGUUGCGCUCGUUGCGGGACUUAACCCAACAUCUCACGACACGAGCUGACGACAGCCAUGCACCACCUGUAUACCGACCACAAGGGGGGCCGUAUCUCUACGGCUUUCCGGUAUAUGUCAAACCCAGGUAAGGUCUUCGCGUUGCAUCAAAUUAAUCCACAUGCUCCGCCGCUUGUGCGGGCCCCGUCAAUCCUUUGAAUUUANCCUUGCGGCCGUACUCCCCAGGCGGGGGCUUAAUGC
rnacentral:rRNA from 1 species